rnacentral:rRNA from 1 species
UACGAAGGGUGCAAGCGUUACUCGGAAUUACUGGGCGUAUAGCGUGCGUAGGUGGUUUGUUAAGUCUGAUGUGAAAGCCCUGGGCUCAACCUGGGAACGGCAUUGGAAACUGGCUUACUAGAGUGCGGUAGAGGGGUGUGGAAUUCCCGGUGUAGCAGUGAAAUGCGUAGAUAUCGGGAGGAACAUCUGUGGCGAAGGCGACACCCUGGACCAGCACUGACACUGAGGCACGAAAGCGAUGGGGAGCAAACAGGG